rnacentral:rRNA from 1 species
UACGUAGGGCGCAAGCGUUAUCCGGAAUUAUUGGGCGUAAAGAGCUCGUAGGCGGUUUGUCGCGUCUGCCGUGAAAGUCCGGGGCUCAACUCCGGAUCUGCGGUGGGUACGGGCAGACUAGAGUGAUGUAGGGGAGACUGGAAUUCCUGGUGUAGCGGUGAAAUGCGCAGAUAUCAGGAGGAACACCGAUAGCGAAGGCAGGUCUCUGGAACGGUACUGACGCUGAGACGCGAAAGCGUGGGGAGCGAACAGG